AGUGAACGCUGGCGGUAGGCCUAACACAUGCAAGUCGAACGGCAGCACAGUAAGAGCUUGCUCUUACGGGUGGCGAGUGGCGGACGGGUGAGGAAUACAUCGGAAUCUACUUUUCGUGGGGGAUAACGUAGGGAAACUUACGCUAAUACCGCAUACGACCUACGGGUGAAAGCAGGGGAUCUUCGGACCUUGCGCGAUUGAAUGAGCCGAUGUCGGAUUAGCUAGUUGGCGGGGUAAAGGCCCACCAAGGCGACGAUCCGUAGCUGGUCUGAGAGGAUGAUCAGCCACACUGGAACUGAGACACGGUCCAGACUCCUACGGGAGGCAGCAGUAGGGAAUAUUGGACAAAGGGCGCAAGCCUGAUCCAGCCAUACCGCGUGGGUGAAGAAGGCCUUCGGGUUGUAAAGCCCUUUUGUUGGGAAAGAAAAGCAGCAGGUUAAUACCCCGCUGUUCUGACGGUACCCAAAGAAUAAGCACCGGCUAACUUCGUG
rnacentral:rRNA from 1 species